GAAUCUUUUCCAGCAGGUAGUAAAUAACCUGCAGACUCCACGGCGGCGCCCCCAGAUUCACGCUCCAUCACCAGCAGUGUCCUCGUAAAAAGGCCGGAUUGUGUUUAGACUGGCACGCGCUCGUCUCCGUGCUCUGUAAAUAAGCAUUAAAUCGUAUGACGCCAGGCGCUGCGUUUUCUGCAGGUCAUAGAUGAGACUCACGCCGAGAGACGGAUGAGUCCAACUGUGAGGAAUCCACGGAGAGUUUGAACAUUUAAAAACACCAGUCUUCAUAAUCACACCACAAAGACUUGAUUUGUUCGUUCCAAAGGCCUUUUCGUUCUUUAUUUUUGUGUAGAUGAGGAUUUGACUUGAGAUGGAGGCUGAACACACCUGUUUGUUUGGGAACAAUCAGCUGAUUGAUUAGAUUUCCUCACAGUUUUCCAUCAAUCCUGGAUUUAUACAGAUUUCAGUUUCUUUUUGGAAAAAACUCCGGAAAAUCCUUUUCAGCAGAAAAGGAAGUCCACCUUUCACCGUCUUGAAGCGUGUGAACCUUUGGGCUGAAGUCCUUCGCCAAAGUUAGAAGCAGGGAGAAGCGGCAGAGUUUGGAGCAUCCGAGGAGGAGGAGGAGGAGGAGGAAGAGGAGGCUGUGGCGCUGACAGAGCUGACCUUUUACGGAAGCCUCUGAUUGGACUGAAACCGCCGUGUGCGCAGAGAUAAGUCUGUUAGAAUGUGACUGAGAGCUUAUCAGAACCCCGCAGGGUGAAAUGACCCCCUUAUAUCAGGCCGCCUGCGUCUGGUUAAUGUGAACAGAACCGGUCCAAAGGGACGAAGAUGCACCAAAAGAGUCUUCAUCAGGAGGAAAAAAGGGAGAUUUUGUUCACCUUGAUCCAUCUGUCUUUUGAAAUAACAGUCAAACUUUGAUGCUUUCCUUCAUUCUCCUGAACUUCUUCAUGUUCUUCUUCAGAUAAGCAGCUAAAGUGAAGAUGAGCAGAGUCUUCAUCACCAAAUAGAACUUUUCAUGUUUUAUUGUUGCUCCGUCUUUGUUUGAGGGAAACUUCACACCAAAGAUCCUGCAUGUUGGCCUGUGUUUGAUCAGUCCUCAGAGGAUCUAUCAGACCUGUUUGACCCCCCCUUCCCUUUGUGUGUCAUGUGCGCGUGGGUGCGUCUGUGCGCGUGAUGGUGGCUUGGGUGACAAUAGGAAACGCUACACCUCCUGUCUGCUGUCAUCUGCGGCCCGGCGGAGGCGCCAGGCGGCUCUGGAUGGUUGGAUGGAGAGAGGAGGAGAUAAUCUCGGCCGUCCCUGUCAAAGCGAUGGAUUUGGGAAAGGAGCGCGCGCGCUAGAGCACGAAGCUCGGUUCGCCUGCUGCAGAUGGAUGUCGGAUAAGCUCGUCUCCACGCCCCGCUCCAGUCCUUGACCUGACAGAGAAUGACACACAGGCCUCAGAAAUGCGGCGGCGGCGCUCUGGUCGUGUACGGGCCUGUCCUCGCCACACCGUGUGUGUCUGCGCCGGGAACGCAUGAAAACCUUUCUGGAACAUUUGCCACAUUCUGACGCUCUGAGGUUUGGGCUUGAGCCGCUCGCUGCUGCAUUUUACGGCGUCUCACGGCACAGAAGUGCUCAUGCAGAGAACAUCCGUCUUCAGGUGAAGCAGCGUGAAAAGCUAAAGUGUCCUUCUACACCUGAGGCCGGGAAAACAGGGAGCAGCUGUUUUCUUAAAACUGGAGUCGCAAAGAGGAUUCAUUUUGUCAAAUUUCACAAGAAAAUGAGAAAAAGUCAACAUUUCAUCUUGUUGAAGAUAAGCAGACAUGAUUCUUUCUCGUGUUAGUGAGAGCUAAUGCUAAUAAACAACCUUAAAC